AAGAUCAUACUUCACAGGAUCAUUUCUGUAGUAUGUAUCGUCCCCUCCAGGUGCAAAUCUGGAGUCGUCAUUGGCCACGAUGAUGAGACAUGGUCCAUGUGCCGGAGCGUGAGGCUGCUAAUGGUCUACUGCUAACGCAGUUGGAACAUUUAGCGACGAUGAUCGCAACCAGCCGCAAGGUUGGGAGGUACGUGGACAGUCUGAGUGGU